rnacentral:rRNA from 1 species
CUUAACACAUGCAAGUCGAACGGUCUUUUCGGAGAUAGUGGCGGACGGGUGAGUAACGCGUAAGAAUCUACCUUCAGGUUGGGGACAACCACUGGAAACGGUGGCUAAUACCCAAUGUGCCGAGAGGUGAAAGGCUUGCUGCCUGAAGAAGAGCUUGCGUCUGAUUAGCUAGUAGGUGAGGUAAGAGCUUACCUAGGCGACGAUCAGUAGCUGGUCUGAGAGGAUGAUCAGCCACACUGGGACUGAGACACGGCCCAGACUCC